CACGGGGGGAGCAAGCGUUGUUCGGAAUCACUGGGCGUAAAGGGCGUGUAGGCGGUCAGGUAAGUGGGAUGUGAAAUCCCUCGGCUCACCCGAGGACCGGCAUCUCAUACUGCUUGGCUUGAGUACGGGAGAGGAUGUGGGAAUUCCUGGUGUAGCGGUGGAAUGCGUAGAGAUCCGGAAGAACACCGGUGGCGAAGGCGGUCUGCUGGGCAGUGGCUGACGCUGAUGCGCGACAGCGUGGGGAGCAAACAGG
rnacentral:rRNA from 1 species